rnacentral:RNase_P_RNA from 1 species
AGGGCAGGAUGCCGGAUAACGUCCGGUGGAGGCGACUCCAAGGAUAGUGCAACAGAAAUAUACCGCCGGCUUUUGCCGGUAAGGGUGGAAGGGCAGUGUAAGAGACUACCGCCUUUCUGGUAACAGAAAGGGCAUAUGUAAACCCCAUCCGAAGCAAGACCGAAUAAAAAGCAAUGUGGCUGCCCGUCACGCUUUUAGGUGGGUCGCUGAAGUCUGUUGGCAACAGCAGAAUUAGAUAGAUGAUUAUUCUCGACAUAACCCGGCUUACAGUUUUGCUGG